GCCCCAGUUAAAUAUUCUAAACCGAGUGCGCAACAAUGACAGAAUUAAGAAAACCAUCAAAAUAGUAUGAUACUCCGUAUAAUAUUGGAAGAGUCAACUCGAACGCUUAUAGCUGAUCUGAACUGAACUGCACGAGGCAUUGUAAAAUGUGCACACAAGAUUUUUGUAUUUCUUGAAAUGACAUAUUAUCUUCUAUUAUUAUUGUCAUAAAUGAUAUAGUUAUUGUUGUCAUAAAUUGUUGUCAUAAAUAGUAUAAUUAUUGAAUAUACUUAUAUAAAUAGUGUUGCAUUGAUUUUUGACAGGCUGAUAAUUUUAUACAAGCUAAAGACGACCAUUUUUUAAAUAUAAUUUUACUUUAGUGCUCUACCAACAAUCAUAAAUUUACUUUAUCUACAAUAAAAUAUGGUUUUAACUUAAAGUAAACUUUUGUCAUUUAAACUUUACUAUGUUGAUCAUUACCUAAUAGUGUAAAAAAAAAAUUAGUACGUCGCAAUCAAGGAUCAGUGUCAAGUAAUGUGUUUUGCAUACUUAUGUAUUUUUUGGGUGUUCUGUGUAUUAAAACUGAAACACAUCAUCUUUAUAUAAUAAUACGGAACUCAAUAGUAGUAGUUCCCUUUCGAGCACGUUUGACACAAAACCCAACGCAGCCAUUGCAACCGAGGUACUGGCGAGGAAGAGUCGCAGCACCUUUUUAUAAGAAAACAUUAACGAAAGUGUGUGCUAAUAAAUAACUUACUUAAACUUCAAAAUGCGAAAUGUCAA